rnacentral:rRNA from 1 species
UACGUAGGGGGCAAGCGUUGUCCGGAUUUAUUGGGCGUAAAGAGCGUGUAGGCGGCUUUACAGGUCCGUUGUGAAAACUCGAGGCUCAACCUCGAGACGCCGGUGGAAACCGUAAAGCUAGAGUCCGGAAGAGGAGAGUGGAAUUCCUGGUGUAGCGGUGGAAUGCGCAGAUAUCAGGAAGAACACCAACGGCGAAGGCAGCUCGCUGGGACGGUACUGACGCUGAGACGCGAAAGCGUGGGGAGCGAACAGG